rnacentral:rRNA from 1 species
AUGCCCAGCUGGUCGCCUCCAGCCCCCGUUCGCGACCGCACCAAGUCCAGCAAGGCAUCGCCCGACCCUGCUCCGCUUCCUGCACAUGGCGCCUCUUGCACGAGCUCCCUGUCACCUGCGUCGUCUACGUGCUGCUGCCCUGCUGCCCUUGUUGUCGUUGCCAGGCCACUGAAUCCAGGUAGCAAGGCCGCAUUCGUGGAUCCCUUUCGCCAAGUACCACGACCGGUGAAGACCAAGACAGAGACCGCCUUGAGCAGGAGCGUUUUUGGGAUCGUCCAGACCACCUCAAGUUCGACUACGUUUUGCCGCCCCGACCGAGACCGACAAGUACCACUACAACCAUCCAGCGCCAAGACCGACCCCGAAAGGCUUGGAUUCGUCACGUGUGCAACGGCCCAUGUACAACUACGUGGACUCGCCAAGUACCACUUCAUGUCGGCUCAGACCCCGAACGAUCGACGACUUGUGGACCAUGUACAACGUUAG